rnacentral:rRNA from 1 species
CGGGGGCCCGCACAAGCGGCGGAGCAUGCGGAUUAAUUCGAUGCAACGCGAAGAACCUUACCUGGGUUUGACAUACGCCGGAAAGCGCCAGAGAUGGUGCCCCCUUUUAGUCGGUGUACAGGUGGUGCAUGGCUGUCGUCAGCUCGUGUCGUGAGAUGUUGGGUUAAGUCCCGCAACGAGCGCAACCCUCGUCCUAUGUUGCCAGCAAGCCCUUCGGGGUGUUGGGGACUCAUAGGAGACUGCCGGGGUCAACUCGGAGGAAGGUGGGGAUGAUGUCAAGUCAGCAUGGCCUUUAUGGCCAGGGCUACACACGUGCUACAAUGGUUGGUACAGCGAGUUGCGAGUCGGUGACGGCGAGCUAAUCUCUUAAAGCCAAUCUCAGUUCGGAUUGUAGGCUGCAACUCGCCUACAUGAAGUCGGAAUCGCUAGUAAUCGCGGAUCAGCACGCCGCGGUGAAUACGUUCCCGGGCCUU